rnacentral:rRNA from 1 species
UACGUAGGGUGCAAGCGUUGUCCGGAAUUAUUGGGCGUAAAGAGCUCGUAGGCGGUCUGUCGCGUCGGCUGUGAAAACCCGGGGCUCAACCCCGGGCCUGCAGUCGAUACGGGCAGACUAGAGUGCGGUAGGGGAGACUGGAAUUCCUGGUGUAGUGGUGAAAUACGUAGAUAUCAGGAGGAAUACCGGUGGCGAAGGCGGCUACCUGGCCCAACAUUGACACUGAGGCCCAAAAGCGUGGGGAUCAAACAGG